rnacentral:rRNA from 1 species
AUUGAACGCUGGCGGCAGGCCUAACACAUGCAAGUCGAGCGAGCGGCGGACGGGUGAGUAAUGUAUGGGGACUGCCCGAUAGAGGGGGAUAACUACUGGAAACGGUAGCUAAUACCGCAUACUAUCGGAUAACCCAUAUGGGAUUAGCUAGUAGGUGGGGUAAUGGCACACCUAGGCGACGAUCCCUAGCUGGUCUGAGAGGAUGAUCAGCCACACGAGUACUGAAACACGGCCCAGACUACUCCGGAGGCAGCGGUGGGGCAUAUUGCACAAUGGGCGCAAGCCUGAUGCAGCCAUGCCGCGUGUAUGGAGAGGGCCCGAGGGUUGUAAAGGAAUUUCAGUCGGGAGGCGUUACCGAAAGAAGAAGCACCGGCUAACUCCGUGCCAGCAGCCGCGGUAAUAC